rnacentral:ncRNA from 2 species
UUGCAAACGUGUGAAACAGGUGCAUAUUGCCUAAGAGGGAAUCCGGUGAUCUGGUUGAACAACAGAAAAUCCGGAGCUGUACCCGCAGCUGUGAUCCCAUUUUGUGGUUGCAACAUUACUGGCCACUGGAUAAAUUAAAAUUCCUAAGUUCAAUUUCAUCUUUAGGGAUAUAAAGUCCGGGAAGGCGUUGCAAUCGGGAAAGCCAGAAGACCUGCCUGUAUACCCAUGAUUAA